rnacentral:rRNA from 1 species
UACGAAGGGUGCAAACGUUGCUCGGAAUCAUUGGGCGUAAAGCGCACGUAGGCGGCUUCGCAAGUCGGAUGUGAAAUCCCUCGGCUCAACCGAGGACGUGCAUACGAAACUGCGGAGCUUGAGUACUGAAGAGGAUCGCGGAAUUCCCGGUGUAGAGGUGAAAUUCGUAGAUAUCGGGAGGAACACCAGUGGCGAAGGCGGCGAUCUGGGCAGACACUGACGCUGAGGUGCGAAAGCGUGGGGAGCAAACAGG